rnacentral:rRNA from 1 species
AGUGAACGCUGGCGGUAGGCCUAACACAUGCAAGUCGAACGGCAGCACAGGAGAGCUUGCUCUCUGGGUGGCGAGUGGCGGACGGGUGAGGAAUACAUCGGAAUCUACUCUGUCGUGGGGGAUAACGUAGGGAAACUUACGCUAAUACCGCAUACGACCUACGGGUGAAAGCAGGGGACCUUCGGGCCUUGCGCGAUUGAAUGAGCCGAUGUCGGAUUAGCUAGUUGGCGGGGUAAAGGCCCACCAAGGCGACGCUCCGUAGCUGGUCUGGGAGGAUGAGCAGCCACACUGGAGCUGAGACACGGUCCAGACUCCUACGGGAGGCAGCAGUGGGGAAUAUUGGACAAUGGGCGCAAGCCUGAUCCAGCCAUACCGCGUGGGUGAAGAAGGCCUUCGGGUUGUAAAGCCCUUUUGUUGGGAAAGAAAUCCAGCUGGCUAAUACCCGGUUGGGAUGACGGUACCCAAAGAAUAAGCACCGGCUAACUUCGUGCCAGCCGCCGCAGUAA